rnacentral:rRNA from 1 species
GAGACAGCAGUCGCCACGGGAAUACGAAGGGGGCUAGCGUUGCUCGGAAUCACUGGGCGUAAAGGGUGCGUAGGCGGGUCUUUAAGUCAGGGGUGAAAUCCUGGAGCUCAACUCCAGAACUGCCUUUGAUACUGAAGAUCUUGAGUUCGGGAGAGGUGAGUAGAACUGCGAGUGUAGAGGUGAAAUUCGUAGAUAUUCGCAAGAACACCAGUGGCGAAGGCGGCUCACUGGCCCGAUACUGACGCUGAGGCACGAAAGCGUGGGGAGCAAACAGGAUUAGAUACCCCCGUAGUCCCUGUCUCUUAUAC